UACGCAUGGGGUUAGCGUUGUUCGGAAUUACUGGGCGUAAAGCGCACGCAGGCGGAUUUAUAAGUCAGGGGUGAAAUCCCGGGGCUCAACCUCGGAAUUGCCUUUGAUACUGUCUAUCUUGAGUCCGGGAGAGGUGAGUGGAAUUCCUAGUGUAGAGGUGAAAUUCGUAGAUAUUAGGGAGAACUCCAGUGGCGAAGGCGGCUCACUGGCCCGGUACUGACGCUCAUGUGCGAAAGCGUGGGGAGCAAACAGG
rnacentral:rRNA from 1 species